GGUGCCACCUGGGAAGCCCAUAAGUGUGUUUGUUUUUGUAUGUAUAGAUGGUAUUGAUUAUUUUAGCACAGAAGUUGAUUUUUCAGUUUUAGUUCUCUGAAUGAUUGGCCUGUCUACUGACAUUUACAGAUGUGUUAAGAUAAAGAGAAUCAUGGAAUAUUAAUGAUGAGUUUUAAGAAACCUUACAGACAUAAACUUUAACAUAUCUGUAAAUGUCAGUAGACAGGUGAUCAGAGAGCUGGGACUGAAAAAUCAACAUCUGUGCUAAAAUAAUCAACACUGUCCAUCCACACAAGCACACCACACACCUUCUCCGCGCCUGCACAGCGAUGCACCACGCACCCCACCCACACUGCCCACCCUCAGCCCCCAAAUAUAUUCAUGUGCUGGAGGUUGCUGGCUUCCUUUUCUCAGAGUCCCUGCCCUGAAACUUAAGAGGGCACUUUGUGGGACUGAUGGGCUGCGGUGCAGUGGGAGAAGGCUGCGGAGGGCAGAAUGGAGUCUCUUCCACACCCUGCGGACUGUUUGGGGUCCUCUGUGUGGUGAGCGGUUGGAGGCUAGAGCUGAGUAUGUUAGUCAGGAAGACUCUGAGGCUUCGGGUACAGGCCAGCUGCUUCAGGAGCCCAGAUGACAGCAGGGUUGGGGAGCUUGGCUGCGGCGGCUCUGGCAGCCGUGGGAGCCGAGCCUGCACCCUGUACAAGGCCUCGGAGUUCUCCCAGGCGGGCCACAGGAAGAAUUCUCUCAGCAGCCUUGGGAGGAGAUGAUGUAAAAGAAGCGGGAGGAAGCAGGCCCGGGACCCAUGUCGGGUAGUACCGGUGUGAUCUGGGGACGCGUUUGGGGCUCACUGCCUGAAAGCCAGGGCCUACACUGACUCAGACAGGGGCUGACGGUCGUUAAGAUCCCUAAAACCUCAUCUCCAGGUGUUGGAAUUGUGCUUCCCUAAAAAUGUCACAUGUUGAAGUUUUAACCACUCCCCCAACCCUGGUACUUCAGAGUGUAACCAUAUUUAGAGAUAGGGUCUUGAAAGCGUGAGUGUUAGUCCCUCAGUCGUGUCCAACUCUUUGCGACCCCACAGACUGUAACCCACCAAGUCUCCUCCGUCCAUGGGAUUCUCCAGGCCAGAAUACUGGAGUGGGUGGCCAUUUUCUUCUCAGUGAUCUCCCCGACGCAGGGAUCGAACCCAGGUGGCCUGCGUUGCAGGCAGAUUCUUUACCAUAUGAGCCACUAGGGAAGCAGGGUCUUGAAAGAGGUAAUUAAAUUAACGUGAGGUCUUCUAGGUGGGCCUUCCUACGACUGCUGUCCUUCUAAGAAAAGGAAGUUUAGACACAGACACAGUACAGAGAGGAAACUGUGAAGAUGCGGGAGCAGAUGCCCACCUACAAGGCAAGGAGAGAGGCCCGGACCAGGCCCCUCCCUCACAAGCCUCAGAGGAAGCCAACGCUGCUGAUACUCUCAUGGCGGACAAAUAGCCUCUAGAACUAAAUACCAAACAGCAAUCUCUGUUGAGAAUCUUGCAACACGUAAAUGCACGUUGCGCCAUGCAAUUGUAAAUUGGAUAUCAACCAUGAGAUCAGCUGACGGUCUCCUGAAGUCUCAGCCAGCCAACACUGUGACACCUAACACUGCAAGGCACCAUGCUGUUACUGAGAACAAGUGGUUUGCUUUAUCAUCUAAAUUUUAAAACCUUCAUAGGACUCCCAGGAAAUGUGCUAUUUCAAAAUACUGCAGAAGAAAAGUGAAGGGAGAGGGACCCAAAACAAACAAACAACUACAGAAAUGUGGACUAUUUUGGCCAAAACGUUUCAGUCUUGGUUUUUGGCUACAGGAGUAAAUCCCUAAAUGAAUGUUUCUUUCUCUUGCUUAUGUAAACAUUUUUUUGUGUGUGCAGAAUUUCAUUUUCUGAGUAUGAUGUGGAAAAAUCAAAUAAAACAAUGUU